rnacentral:tRNA from 1 species
AGAAGGUUAGCCAAGUCGGUUAAGGCUGGGGUCUCUGAAACCUUGAUCAGUGGUUCGAACCCACUACCUUCUGCCA